rnacentral:rRNA from 1 species
AGGCUUAACACAUGCAAGUCGAGGGGCAGCAUGGUCUUAGCUUGCUAAGGCCGAUGGCGACCGGCGCACGGGUGAGUAACACGUAUCCAACCUGCCGUCUACUCUUGGACAGCCUUCUGAAAGGAAGAUUAAUACAAGAUGGCAUCAUGAGUCCGCAUGUUCACAUGAUUAAAGGUAUUCCGGUAGACGAUGGGGAUGCGUUCCAUUAGAUAGUAGGCGGGGUAACGGCCCACCUAGUCUUCGAUGGAUAGGGGUUCUGAGAGGAAGGUCCCCCACAUUGGAACUGAGACACGGUCCAAACUCCUACGGGAGGCAGCAGUGAGGAAUAUUGGUCAAUGGGCGAGAGCCUGAACCAGCCAAGUAGCGUGAAGGAUGACUGCCCUAUGGGUUGUAAACUUCUUUUAUAAAGGAAUAAAGUCGGGUAUGGAUACCCGUUUGCAUGUACUUUAUGAAUAAGGAUCGGCUAACUCCGUGCCAGCAGCCGCGGUAAUACGGAGGAUCCGAGCGUUAUCCGGAUUUAUUGGGUUUAAAGGGAGCGUAGAUGGAUGUUUAAGUCAGUUGUGAAAGUUUGCGGCUCAACCGUAAAAUUGCAGUUGAUACUGGAUAUCUUGAGUGCAGUUGAGGCAGGCGGAAUUCGUGGUGUAGCGGUGAAAUGCUUAGAUAUCACGAAGAACUCCGAUUGCGAAGGCAGCCUGCUAAGCUGCAACUGACAUUGAGGCUCGAAAGUGUGGGUAUCAAACAGGAUUAGAUACCCUGGUAGUCCACACGGUAAACGAUGAAUACUCGCUGUUUGCGAUAUACUGCAAGCGGCCAAGCGAAAGCGUUAAGUAUUCCACCUGGGGAGUACGCCGGCAACGGUGAAACUCAAAAGGAAUUGACGGGGGCC